rnacentral:rRNA from 1 species
CAACGAAACCAAUAGAUAUUCGACAAAAUGAUACAAAAUGAAUGGGGGUAGCCUUAGCUGUGAGAACCAUUAUUAAUUUAUUAAGUCUAACCCUAGAUCUAUCUCUUGCUAUAAAUACUGGGACGUCUUGAAUAACGAAAAAUCACUAAAGAAAAGAUUGCUUCUUGAAUAAUGGUGAGUUUCCCAAAAAACCCUAAUCUAUUAAAUUUCGUGAACUGAAACAUCUAAGUAACGAACAUAAAAGAAAUCAACCGAGAUAAGGGUAGUAGUGGCGAGCGAAACCCUUUCUAGCCAAAUAAAUUUGUUUUUAGAUAAAGAAGAUUACCAGAGUGGGUUAUUUAGUCCUGUAUAAAAUCUAAAAUCAUAAUAAAUAAUUUAAAGUAAGAGAAAUCAUACUCUGAACUGGGGAACCACCCUCAAAGGCUAAAGGAGGUAUUAUGAGCAACAGUGAAAAGUACUGUAAAGGAAAGAUGAAAAGACCCCCUAAAAGGGGAGUGAAAAAGAUCACGAAAAUCUAGAGGUAAAAAGCAGUUGAUUAUUAUAUUUUCAACUUACCUUUUGCAUAAUGGGUCAACGAGUAUAUCCUUUUAAUUCGCUAGCUUUUAUUCAGGCGUAUUGAAAAAACUGUAAUAUAUAAGUGGGAAGGAUUUUGCCCGAAAGCGAGUGAUCUACCUCUGAACAGGUAGCAAAAGAAGUAAAAUUCUUUGAAAGACCGAACUCAUGUGUGUUGCAAAAUACUGAGAUGAUUUGGGGGUAGGAGUGAAAGGCUAAUCAAACUCGCAGAUAGCUGGUUUUUCGCGAAAUCGAUAGAAGUCGAGCCAAUGAGAAAUUAUCUUAGGGGGUAGAGCGCUUUUUGGGUUAGGGCUUUACCGAUCCCUGAAAAACUACGAAUCCCUAUUUAGAUAAGAAUGUUGAGACAGGCUUAGGAUGCUAAGGUCAUAAGCCAAAAGGGCAACAGCCCAAAUUGUUUUUUAAGGUCCUAAAGCAAAGUUUGAGUGAGAAAGAAAGUUUUUUUGCAAUGACAAUCAGGAGGUGAGCUUGGAAGCAGCUAUCCUUUAAAGAAAUCGUAACAGAUCACUGGUCGAGCAAGAAUGCGUCUAAAAUGUAAGAGGACUCAAAGCUUUCACCGAUAAAACAAAUUUUAAUUCAUAGAUUAAAAUGGUAGCGAAACGUUCUGUAAUAAUCCUGAAGGUUACUUCAUAAAUCAGAAAUGCGAAUGUUGACAUAAGUAGCGUGAAAUUAUUUGAAAAAGAUAAUCGACAAAAUUUCAAGGUUUUCAUCGUACUGUUAAUCAGCGAUGACAUAUUUAGCCCCUAGGAUGAAGUUGAGAAAUCACUUUUCUAUGGGAAACAAGAAAAAGACGAAGUUAUUUUCUCUUUUAUUAUUUUAAAGUAUUUAAUUUAUUUAAAGAGACAUAAAUUUACUGGAAAUAAUUUCUUGUAAUUAAACUAUACUUGAAACCGACUCUGGUGAAAAGGCAGGUAAUCUGCUAUGUCGUUUGAGAAAAUCAUUUUGAAGGAACUCGGCAAAUUUACUCUGUAUCUUCGGUAAAAAGAGUACCCUUUUGGGUGUCACUAAAAAGAGGGCUGCGACUAGUUAAUAAAACUACAAAAAAAUGCAAAUUCGUGAGAAGAAGUAUAUUUUUUGACACCUGCCCAGCACUAGAAGUAAACAGGACAUGUGAAAGCAUAAAAUGGAAUCUAUAGUAAACGGCAGACCUAACUCUAAGGUUUCUAAGGUAGCGAAAUUCCUUGACGUCUAAUUAGCGUCCUGCAUGAAUGGUGUAACGAUGGCCCUGCUGUCUCCAAAAUGAGCUCAGCGAAAUUGAAUUCUCCGUGAAGAUGCGGAGUACCAACAAUUAGACGGUAAGACCCCGUGCAGCUUUACUAUAAGUUUCCACUGGUAAAAAAAAAGAAGUGUAUAGGAUAGGUGGGAAAAAUCUAACCAUUUUAAAAUUGGAAUACCACUCUCUUUUAUUUUUUUACCUCAUUUUUAAGAUAAUGGAUGCUGGGUAGUUUCACUGGGGCGGUGACCUCCUAAAAAGUAACGGAGGUGUACGAAGGUAAGUUCAGGUUGGUCGGAAAUCAACUUUGGAGUAAAAUGGCAAACACUUGCCUGACUGGAAGACUUACAAGUCAAUCAGAGACGAAAGUCGGUCAUAUUGAUCCGGGAGUUCUGAGUGGAAAGACUCUCGCUCAACGGACAAAGCUACGCCGGGGAUAACAGGCUGAUGAAUUCGGAGAGCCCUUAUCGAUGAAUUCGUUUGGCACCUCGAUGUCGUCUCAUCACAUCCUGGUAGUGCAGAAGCUUCCAAGGGUUCGGCUGUUCGCCGAUUAAAGUGGUACGUGAGAUGGGUUUAGAACGUCGUGAGACAGUUCGGUUCCUAUCUGUUGUUGGAUUGAAAAAUAAGCUACUGUGAUUUCUUGUACGAGAGGACCGAAAUUACUCAACCUAUGGCAUACGAUGGUUAAACUAAAAGCCUUGUCGAAUAGCUACGUUGAAUAUCGAGAACUGCUGAAAGCAUCUAAGCAGGAAACUUUGUUGCUUUAAAUUUUGCAUUUAGGAAAAGAAUAUUCCUAUAUAGGUAUUGAUUGCUAAAUUUAAAAACAACAUCCAAUAUACUAAUACUCGACGAUCAUAUAAUUCUAUAAAUUAA